rnacentral:lncRNA from 1 species
AGGGGUUCCACCUGGAGAAGAUACUCUAACGUUCAAGUCAAUAAGAGUAUAAAAUAUAGUGAAUAUAGUGUAAAAUAUGAGUUAAAAUUAUUUCCUGUGAGUUGUGGUUCUCAUGUUGUUGUGUGUUGGAGUUAUUCCCCUUGUAUGUUCCUUUAUCACGUCAUAUUCUUUCCCUCAUAUAUGAUAAUGUUCUCCCCACUUCUCUUUAUAUCUAGUCUUGUUUUGA